GACGAACGCUGGCGGCGUGCCUAAUACAUGCAAGUUGAGCGCUGAAGGUUGGUACUUGUACCAACUGGAUGAGCAGCGAACGGGUGAGUAACGCGUGGGGAAUCUGCCUUUGAGCGGGGGACAACAUUUGGAAACGAAUGCUAAUACCGCAUAAAAACUUUAAACACAAGUUUUAAGUUUGAAAGAUGCAAUUGCAUCACUCAAAGAUGAUCCCGCGUUGUAUUAGCUAGUUGGUGAGGUAAAGGCUCACCAAGGCGAUGAUACAUAGCCGACCUGAGAGGGUGAUCGGCCACAUUGGGACUGAGACACGGCCCAAACUCCUACGGGAGGCAGCAGUAGGGAAUCUUCGGCAAUGGACGAAAGUCUGACCGAGAAACGCCGCGGGAGUGAAGAAGGGUUUCGGAUCGUAAAACUCUGUUGGUAGAGAAGAACGUUGGUGAGAGUGGAAAGCUCAUCAAGUGACGGUAACUACCCAGAAAGGGACGGCUAACUACGUG
rnacentral:rRNA from 1 species